UCUCUCUCUCUCUCUCUCUCUCUCUCUCUCUCUCUCUCUCUCUCUCUCUCUCUCUCCUCUACACUCGAGUCGGUUGUGUCUAGUGGAACAAAACGGUAGGGAACGUACAUUUUGAGAGGCGCAGAGAAUAGGCGAUCACGCAGAGUAGGAACAAAAGCCGUCAGUUGUGAAAGGACCAAACAGUGAAGCUCCAGUGUUUGGGUUUCUGGCCACGUUCGCCACUGCCGCGUGAGAGGAGGGGACCGACAGAUUCCAACCGCUCUCUCUCAUCUAGACUGGGGAGAAUACUAUGUUAGACUCAAUAGCACAAGAACCCUAUUUAUAGGGUCUCUCUCUCUUGCCAUUCAAGCACAAGUAAUCUUUUUUUGAAGAAAAUGUUAGUAGGAGAAACGUCAUUGAUGAGAUUGAUGAGCUAUAGAAACUUUUGUAAUAGGCCUAUAUUAUCAAAAAGGAUCUGUGGCACUAUUUUGGAUUAUCAAAAGAGGCGCUGUUGAAGAAGUAAAAGUGAGUGUACAUACUGGAAGGUGUACCCAUGUCAGGAAACAAUAUGGUGGCUCAUGUUACCUAGGGGUCUCAGAUACCAGGGACUGGGAAGAGGAAGAGGGCCCAAGUCCAACCUACAAGGAACAACCAUACAUUCACAGAUGAAGAACGAGAAAAAGAAGCGAGUGGGCGGAUGGAGUGAAGGAUGAAGGCUGGGUAGACGACUGAACAGAGAGAGAGAGGCCCCGUGCGGCUGUCCAUCCGUUCAUCGCCAUGGGCUCUUGUCCUCGUCUCUCCUCCCCUGGUCCAUCCUCCCAUCCCAGGGCCCUUUGAAGCGAGUGCGGCCCAAAAAGGGAGCUCUUGAGUGGGCUGGCGAGGCAGGAAUAAGUCCAUGCUGGUUACCAGCAACUCUGGAGAUGACGGCAAAAGAAAUCGAUAUGGAGAAGAGAAUGUGGAGAAGAGAGUGGGGUUGUCCAGGUUAGCCGACGGCCUAGGGGCCUGGAGACCUCCAGAGGAGGCCCAUCUCGACCUCUCUCAGCCCCAGCCAAGGCUCCUCAGACUGGGCCUGGGUCCCUACCCACAAUGGGUGUGUGUGGUUCUGCUGGAGGGGGCCUCCCAACAAACACCACAUGAUACACAUUCUCCCAAGUUUUUUAAUAAAAAAAAAAAAGAAUGCUAAAGGGCAUUUCCCUCUCUCUUUAUUUCUGUUUUCUUUAAAAAGAUUGACGUACUCCCCCACCUGCACCCUGUGGCUGUGUGUGAAUGCUGGUGGGGGGUUUUGAUUUUUGAUUCAGACUUCAGAUCCACUCACUGCUUAUUCCCGGGGACACUUUUACAUUUGACAAAGAGACAGUAACGUCUCAUUUUUACAUUUCUAUUUUUCUUUUCUACACUGGUGUGCUUCCUCCACAGCAAUAUACAAACCACAACAACCACUGAAAUAUAUUUUUUUAUCAGGCUCUUUAUUGUUCAAUUCCAAUUGAAUUUUUUGAAUUUUUCAAUUGGCAUGAUCAAAGACCAUAGAAUAAAAUGUAUGCCCAGUAAAACCCAUGUCAGAUCUCCUAUCAAUAGAGUUCAUUCAUUUUGACAAGCUAGAAUAAAGGGAUCCAAGGAAACACAAGGCCAUCAACAGGAGCAGUACAGAUGACUGGACACUCCCUGGAGAACACAGAUCCAGCAGACAGAUCAACAUGUGAGAGUGAAAGAACAAAGGUCACUGGAUUGGACCAACCGGAUCACAUGAGACCUUGUGGAGCGCUCCCAUUGGUUCACCUAAGGAAAAAAGAGGGGGAAAAGACUCCUUUGACUUCAAGCUUGCUAUGAAGAUUCAUAGAAUGUGGAGUAAGAUGGACAUGCAAAACUGGACAAAAUAAAAAUACAGAAAUUGCCUCUACAAUAUUGACAUUGAAUUAGUACACUCACCUCAGCUCUUCACAGUUGACUGUUGCUCUCUGAAGCCAUUCUAGUUUGGAAAACAAUUAGCAAUGAUCACAGAUCAUUUGUUUUGGUUUUAAGCUGAUCUUUUGCUGAGGUGUGUAUGAUAUAUUAUAACUGUAUGCAGCAUAAAUCAUAUAACAGAAAUAUAUCAAUAAAAGUGGUUUGUUUUCUGAAAGUAUUUUGUAUUUAUUUGGUUUAGCUCUAUCAAUGUCAAAUAAUGUUUUGACUGGUGGCUAUAUUCGAUAGUCAUCACGUUUAUCAUCUCCCAAGAGAUACAGUGCCUUCAGAAAGUAUUCACACACCUUGACUUUUUCCACAUUUUGUUGUGUUACAGCCUACACCCAA